GACGUAGGGGACGAGCGUUGUCCGGAUUCAUUGGGCGUAAAGCGCGCGCAGGCGGUCACGUAAGUCGGAUGUGAAAUCCCGGGGCUCAACCCCGGAACUGCAUUCGAUACUGCGUGACUUGAGGCAGGUAGGGGAGAUCGGAAUUCCUGGUGUAGCGGUGAAAUGCGCAGAUAUCAGGAGGAACACCGGUGGCGAAGGCGGAUCUCUGGGCCUGUCCUGACGCUGAGGCGCGAAAGCUAGGGGAGCGAACAGG
rnacentral:rRNA from 1 species